GGGGGGGGGUCCCGGGCUGCCACGCUCAGCGCUUUGCUGCUCUCCCGCGGGGAAGGAAAUGCCCCCAUCUGCUCCCCACGUGCCCCAGCCAGCCCCCAAACCCCAGGGGCCGGGCACCCUCCUCCCCCUUGCCGUGCCCCGUACCUGCUGCGAGCGCCGCCGUCCUCGGCUGCCUGCGGCGCUUCCCGGCCCGGCGCCCGGCAGCUCGGCGAGCACCCAGCUCUCCUCGUCCUGCCGCUGCUCGCAGCCCGUGCCGCUGCCGCAGAGGGAAGGGGGAAAAGGGGGGAGAGGGGCGGGAGGAGGGGAGGGGGGAAAUGAAACUUUAAUAGCACAGAGCCCCUUUUGUUUCCCAGCAUAUGGUGUAUUUCAUACAUGCUGAAGGCAUUAACCACCUAUAUUCGUCAGCGCUCGCCGGCAGCUGGGAGCGCGGCCCCCGCGCGCGGCUCUGGGGGACACGGCCGCGAUGGGGGGCUGGAGGUGGCAGCCAAUGCCCCCUCUGCCCAGCAUCCCUCCCUCUGUGGCUUUUGACCUUUAACGGCAGCCUUGCAAACUGCUCGGCCUCACCGAGAUAGCUGCGUGCUACUUUUCCUCCCUCCAAAAGAGGAGGAGAGGGAGAAAAUCCCCACUGCCCGAGGAUGGCCACUUCAGAGAUGUAACCCCCCCCCCGGACUCAAGGCAAGGAGAAGGGGUGCCCCCCUUUUAGGGCCAUGCUGUGAGACCCCGCGAUGAAGGGAGGUCACUGGCGCCUGAUCCAGGGGGUGUCUGAGAUCCCCAUCAGCCCUCACGUCUUGCCCUCCUGCCUCCUUUCCCGUGGGCACGGGGACGGGGGACACGGCAGGGCCACACUGCUGAGCUGCGAGAUGAAGGCGGCAGAGAGUGGCUGGCGGGCCGCUCCAGCCCUGGCCCUUGCCCAGCACGGAUUUCGCCUCGCUUGCACAUUUUCCACAGACGCAGAAGCUAGAAAACAUCGCCGGUGCCAAGGCGGGCCGCGGGCGAGGGGGAAGGGGGCAGAGCCCGGCUCCCCCGGCGCCGCUCUUCGGACGCAAUGCGGGGCGGAGGCACGUCCUGCUGCCCAUGCGGGGACAGCGCGUCCCGUCCCGUGCAGCCCUCCUCCCGGCGCGCCCCCGCAGCCCCGUUAUGAAGGGGCAGUUAAGCGGGGGCACGGCGCGGCAGCAGCUGGUCCCACCUGCCGGCGGCUGGAGGCAGGGGGCUCCCGGAGCGGGAGGCCGUGCCGGGAGCGCGGCGCCCAGGCUGCACGGAGACACGGCGGUGCUUCGAGUCAACGUGCGGCACCGGGGGGCACCAGGCACGCUGGCCGCCCCUGCGCCAGGGUAGGGCCAAAGCCAGAGCCUUCUCCCCCAGGCAGGUGUUUAACUCCGGGCACGGGCACAUCGGGAAGCAAACCGCRGGCACCAGGCGCAGGGCACACGGCUUUGCUCCAGCGGGACAGAAAAUUACACACCUACUUGCCGGGGGACCAGCCCCCGCUCCCCCAGCUCCUCCGGAGGGCGAGGAGGCCGGUGGGGGCAGCGGGGGUUCCCGGGGGAGGAAAGGAGCUGGUAAUUUGGGGCGAGGGGAGCGCUUGGGGCCCCGUGCCAGGGUGCAGCGCCCGGCAGCCAGCGCAGGCCGCCUCGCAGCCCCUGCCCGCGGGUCCCACGCCCGCAGCACCGCACAUCGUUUGUCACUCCGACAGGUUCAAACAAACCUCGCGGCUGCCCCGUCUGGUAUUAAUUAGGCUCCGUCUCCGUUUCCUCCAGCGUUUUGCAGGGGCUGGGGCUGCGGAAGGAGGGAGGGAGGGAGGGAGCGAGCAGGGGCCGGUUAUCCCACCGGCGGCAGCAGCACCACCACCACCACCAAAAGGCAAGCAGGGAUCCCCCCUGCAGAUCCCCCCAAACCCCGGUCCCAGCUUGGCUCUGGGCACACCCCAAAGCCCAUGGUGGGGAGCCGACCCCACGGUGCUGGACUGGAGGGAUGCGGGGGUGCAGGCGGCUUCGGGGAGCCUCCAGGCGGCAGAGCCAUGUCAGGGGUUGCAAGCCCUCUGCAACCCCCCCCCCAAACACACUUUGCACCCCCCCCCCCACACACAGACUGGGGGAGACGGCCCCAGGGGACGAAGCAGCCAGCUCAUUUGGCCCCAUGGCACCCUGCUGCCAAAGCUCAGGGAGCAAACGACAGGCAGCGGCCGCGUUACACAACGAAGGCGAAACCGGAGCUGGCCCUGGAGCCGCAAGCCCAGCGGCCUGAGGAGCAGUUUGUCUCCCGGGUCUGGGCUCGCUUCCGGCAGCAUCGCACCGGCCAGCCCCCAGAGGCCCCCAGCCCUUCUUCCCACCCCGAGCCAAGCAGAAUUGCUCCGUGGCUCUUUUAAUCCAGGGCUGGGAGAGCCAAGAGGGAGAAGGAGGACUGGGACGCCAAAACCCAAAAGGAGGGAAAACACAAUCUCUGAGCUUUAGGAGCCCGCAGCAGGGUUGUCCUGCUCUUAGGUACUCACGGAGCGGACCUGUCCCACCAUGCCGCAUGGCGCACUGCUCCCUUGGCUAUGGCCUGAGGAUAUCUCCUCCCCUCUACGGUGGAGCUGGGCGCCCCUCUGUGCUCGGACCCCUGGAGCUGGGAACGCUCGGCCAGCGCAUGGGCCGUAUCCUGCCCCCUGCCCACAACGCCUGCCACGGCCCCCUUUGCUACACUGUGGUUUUUGCUGGGUGAUGCUUUGUGGGUGCUUGCAAAGCACCAGCUCCUGGAGUCAUGGGAUGAAACAAGAUUCUCGUUGCAGGGAAGCCCAAGAAGACGGCACAGAAAGGGCUGAGGCCACAGAAAGGGCUGAGAAACUAGAACACAAGUGAACGAAAUCCAGCACUUAUUUCUUUAAAAUUGUGCUUUUCAAGGCAAUCUUUCUGAGGCCCGCGUCAGGAUUUUGGACGCUGCAGGCUGUGACUAACCCUGCUCCAAGCCAGCGAGGGAGAGCCCCAAGGCUGCGUGCUCAGGGUCCGCACAUCGCCUGCCCUCCCGGCUUCUCGGGCAGCCGAGCAGGAGGGGAGCAGUGCGGCAGGCUAGACGUGCUGUCCCUGCCUCUCCAGGCAUGUCGGCCCACAAAUGAAGUGAGUGUGCAGAGCCUCAGCACUGGUUCAAGCACACCUUGCCCCUCUUCCACCUUGCAGACCUGUUGGCUCCAUCCUGGCUGAGCCCUGCAGUCCCAAGGGACUGCUGYAAUCAUCUCUGCCCCUAUCCUGUGCAUCAUAAGCCCCCCCAAAGAACCAGUUUCUUACCCUGUCUGGGAGCUGUAGGGGGCCUCCACAGCUAAAAUAGCAGGGGUGGGGAUGGGUGGUGCAAUUACUCUGGCUGCGAAACCAGGGCUGAAGGACCGCAGCUGUCAGUGGCAGAGCCGGAGAUGGGGAAAUAGCCGGGCCAUUCCCAGCCCG
rnacentral:lncRNA from 1 species